rnacentral:misc_RNA from 1 species
CGAGCGGUAACAUCGAUCUCGUCGGUACCCUCGGCGACAACUUCAAUGUUCUCAGCUUCAACAAUUUCGCGAGCUGCGCCGGAUUCGGCGGUGCAGACGGGUGUCAAGUUACCAGUUGUCCUCCGGUGGGCAUCGGCUCCUGCCAGUCUGCCCGUCCUUCCUGCUCGGCUGCUCUCAACGGCAGCGGUUCCGCGCGCUACACUGUCCGCUGCCUCGAUCCGUGAUGCGGAGUGGUGAUCGGUUGAUCGGUAAUCGGUGGCGACCGAUCACUGAUCACCGAUCACCAACGGCGCGCGGGCGGUCUAUUCGCCGCGCGCCGUACUCGCUGAUUCCUCGAAGACAUCCUCGCGCAUCACCAUCAUGGCGGUGUCUCUUUCGAGCACCGGCUGAUAGACGACCACUUUGACCUGCUCCCACUCGGGAUUCAGCGCCAGGAUCGACCUGACGAACGCCCCCGGAAACGCCAACUUGCCGAGCCAUCGAUAACGCUCGAGAAACACCCUGGCAGCAUCUCCUGUGGGGCUGGCGGAUUCGCGGAAGCGCCGGUAGUCGCCGGCGUUGCGUUCGCGGAAGAAGAUCUCCAUGCCGACGAACUUCGGCCGCGGCGUCGCGUACAUGCCCCACCCCGCUAACUUCCAAGCACUCACUCCGUAAGUCUUCACCAGCCAGAUGUGAACCGCCGGCCAGACCGUCAGCAGCGCCAGGAAUGUGUAGACGAGGGCCUUCUUGAGCGUCAGGGUCAACUGAACGUCACCUCCGGCAGCACGCCCAUUCGGAUCAGCAGCAUACACGCGAGCACGACGGCGAUCGGUACCAGCAGCCGGCGAUUCAAAUCGCUGUCGAGAAACAUGAGAAGCAUGUUCGCCAGCACGAAGAAGAAGAACAUCUCACGCGCCGCCGAUUCGAUCGCGGCGAGCAAGAGGAACGCUCCUGCCACUGCCAUUUGCCGGGUCUUCCGCCACAAUAGAAGCGGCACCAACACGACCU